GUGGAGGUUGCAAUCACAUCAUUUCCGGCCGCAUUAAUCAUGACCAAAUGAAGAACAGCAAACAUUUUUAUAAAGUCAUAAGAGCCAAAGUCUCUCUUUCAGACCCUUUAAGAAUUAUUACCAAGAUUUGUUCUAUCAACUAAUGAACCAACCAAGAAUAAAGGAUGGCAAUAAGAAGGGAAUAGCCCAAGCUGAAGAUUCUGCCCAGUUUGCUGAAAACCACCUUGAAUGAAAUUUGGAUACACAGACACCAGGGAUGCACAAAACCAUGUGAGAACACAUUGGCAAGCCAAGGAGAGGAGC